rnacentral:rRNA from 1 species
AGAGUUUGAUCAUGGCUCAGAACGAACGUUGGCGGCGUGCUUAACACAUGCAAGUCGAGCGGGGUGGUAACACCCAGCGGCGGACGGGUGAGUAACACGUGAGUGACCUGCCCUCGAGUCUGGGAUAACGUUCCGAAAGGGGCGCUAACACUGGAUAAGCCCACGCGAAAGCGCGGGAAAAAGCAAUGCUUGAGGAGGGGCUCGCGGCCCAUCAGGUAGUUGGUGGGGUAAAGGCCUACCAAGCCGAAGACGGGUAGCCGGUCUGAGAGGAUGAUCGGCCACACUGGAACUGAGACACGGUCCAGACUCCUACGGGAGGCAGCAGUGGGGAAUCUUGCGCAAUGGGCGAAAGCCUGACGCAGCAACGCCGCGUGGGUGAUGAAGGCCUUCGGGUCGUAAAGCCCUGUCAGGAGGGAAGAUAAAAGACGGUACCUCCGAAGGAAGCACCGGCUAACUCCGUG